AUUGAACGCUGGCGGCAGGCCUAACACAUGCAAGUCGAGCGAGCGGCGGACGGGUGAGUCAUGUGUGGGAAACUGCCUGAUGGAGGGGGAUAACUACUGGAAACGGUAGCUAAUACCGCAUACAAACGGAUGAGCCAAGAUGGGAGUAGCUAGUAGGUGGGGUAAUGGCUCACCUAGGAGACGAUCCCUAGCUGGUCUGAGAGGAUGACCAGCCACACUGGGACUGAGCCACGGUCCAGACUCCUACGGGAGGCAGCAGUGGGGAAGAUUGCACAAUGGGCGCAAGCCUGAUGCAGCCAUGCCGCGUGUGUGAAGAAGGCCUUCGGGUUGUAAAGCACUUUCAGCGAGGAGGCGUUACGCGCAGAAGAAGCACCGGCUAACUCCGUGCCAGCAGCCGCGGUAAUAC
rnacentral:rRNA from 1 species